rnacentral:tRNA from 1 species
GCCUGGAUGGCUCAGUCGGUUGAGUGUCUGACUUUGGCUCAGGUCAUGAUCUCACGGUCUGUGGGUUCGAGCCCCACGUUGAGCU